rnacentral:lncRNA from 1 species
UUCCGUUUGGUACAUAUUGUGUAACAAAAACAUGAGAUAUGAGGGUAAUAAACAAACCAUGCACAAUAAUGGUAGUAAGGUUUAUUAUAUGGGAUGUAUAUGUAAAAAUCCCUUUAUUCAAUUCUGUCCCCGAGUAUAGCCUUGGGCCUGAAAGCCAAAAGUUGGCCCAAAUUACAUGCAAUAAUUUCAAAACAGUCAAAGCACGCGAUUAUUCUAAAACGUUGGCUCCAAUUUUCAUAACACACAAAACAGUACAAAAGUAAGAACUAUUCCAAUUGUAUUUAAGACAAUUAUGCUGGCCACCGAAGCAUUUGGUAAUAAAAAAUGACAAACGUGGAUACGAACUCAAUUUUACUAAUCAAAAGUUGAAUACUAAUCAAACUAUCAUUACUAAAUUAGUCUACGAACUCAACUUUGAUGUUGUUUCAACUAUGUGACCUAAUUGCUACUGGAAUUUAAUUAAACAGUCCACUAUUGUCAUGAAUUCAAAUAGCAAUUAUAUAGUCCAAAUUUAAUUAACCCGAAUAAUCAACCAAAUCGUAGAAGACAAAACUAUUCAAACGUAACAGGGCUAUUCAACAGUAGAUCUAGAGCAGUAAGCUUCAAUCUCAUUUUUUCAUUUCAGCUGAAAUUCCACAUACUGAGGUUCAGAACAGGUACCUGAAAUUUGAAGUGAAGUAAGAAGAAGGAGAAGUCAGCAAUGGCAAUUGCAACAGCCAGUGAUAAUCAACAGUGGCAGACAGCAACAAUCAGGAUAAAUUUUGGACCAAAAUCACUUAAAAAAACCCAAGAACUCAAUAACAGAAUACAACACAGAACCAAAUACCCUAUAGGUUACCCAACAAGCUCGAAAUAAAACCAGUAACACUCCAGAAAUUUCAGCAACCAAGCCACAACAGAAUGAAAACCAAUGGAACAGUAGCAUUGUUGAUUUUUGAAUUUUCUUUUUGUUUGGUUUUUUUUUAAACUUGAAUCCUAUUUCACAUUUGGAAAUAAAACUAAUGAAGGGGAAAUUUUUAGGCUGAACCGAAGACCCCCUCACAAGGCAAUUGCCAUGCCAUUUUAUAGGCAAUAAACAGCUUCUUAUUUUCCUUUUAGUCCCUUAUGUAAUUUUACCCUAGUCCCUUAGUUCUUUUACUUACUCAUCAAGCUAACACCCAUGUUUAUUGAUGUUCCACUAUGACCCCAACCUAGAGGCUUCUAGGGGGUACUAGAUCACAUGGCAAAGAAGCCUUACCCUAAUUGCCCCUGUGACUAAGCGAUUAUCUGGCCAUAUUUAACUAACUAAACAAAAUUACCUAAAUCAGGAUUAACAAACUUAAAAUAUCAAAACACCAAAUCAAACAGCAUGCAUAACAGAAAAUUAAACUAACUGAGUUCCUAGCUUCAUUCAAUCUAAGCUAAUUGACGAACUUAAACUAAUCAACAAAUUAAAGCUAAAUCAAAAUCACAUAGGGGACGAUUGAAAAUAGACUUAAAAGAGUUUAUUGAUUUUCAUAUUACUAAUUAUUGCUAGCAAAGUUAAACUGAGAUGUUACCACAAGAAAGAUGAAACAUGAGAGACAAAACUUAUUGAUGCAAAGAACCUCCGGUUAGUCGAUAUUUCCCAAAAUCAGUCAGUCCCUAGGGUUGUUUGAGCUCUAUUGGCGACCGAUUCUUUAUGAGAGAGGUCCAGGGAUCCUUACAACGUUAAUUGCAUGCAUUUAGGUCUUUAGGAUUUUGGCUGGAAAAUUUCUUUUCAAUAUUUGAGCAGCUCCGGCCACACUCGAGGCAAACGGUUAUGGGGGUUGGGUAGAGGAGGCUCAGGCGGUGACACAUUGUUAAUUUUGGGCCGUUUAGCGUAACCGGCGUCAUGGCCGAAAAAUAUUCAACGAGACAUUCGAGGGUUUCUAGUUAGAUUUGAAAGAAGAGGUUUGUGGAUUCGCGACAAGGGAGAGAAGGAGGUCUCGUGGUGUUAUUUUGGGACUAAACGGAUAAGGUGACGUUCAUUGGCGGUAGCUUCACCGGUGGAGAUGUAGAGGAGUAUGAGGAUGGUGAGAUAUGGUCGUAGGGUUAGUAUG